CCUACGGGAGGCAGCAGUGGGGAAUAUUGCACAAUGGGCGCAAGCCUGAUGCAGCCAUGCCGCGUGUGUGAAGAAGGCCUUCGGGUUGUAAAGCACUUUCAGCGGGGAGGAAGGCGUUAAGGUUAAUAACCUUGUCGAUUGACGUUACCCGCAGAAGAAGCACCGGCUAACUCCGUGCCAGCAGCCGCGGUAAUACGGAGGGUGCAAGCGUUAAUCGGAAUUACUGGGCGUAAAGCGCACGCAGGCGGUCUGUCAAGUCGGAUGUGAAAUCCCCAGGCUCAACCUGGGGACUGCAUUCGAAACUGGCAGGCUAGAGUCUUGUCGGGGGGGGUAAAAUGCCAGGGGUAGCGGGGAAAUGCGUAGAGAUCUGGGGGAAUACCGGGGGCGAAGGCGGCCCCCUGGACAAAGACUGACGCUCAGGUGCGAAAGCGUGGGGAGCAAACGGGAUAAAUACCCUUGUAGUC
rnacentral:rRNA from 1 species